UCUCCAACCCAGGGUGUCGACUGGAAAGUCUUCAACUGCCUCCCACCAUGAUAAGCUCCCGAGCCAAUGUUCCCUGUGGCGAAGUGAGGAAGUAGUUUCCUGAAGUAGCAUAUGGCAUGGUAUGGCACCGUUUCUAACCAGCGGCUGGCACCAACUCUGGCAAACGUCGUAGUGGAUGACGCCCAGAUCCUAUGGGGGAUGUCUACAUUAACAUGGAAAAGGUGGUAAUGAUUACAAUGGUAUCAAAGCAUUGACUGGCUUAAGAAAUGUGACUGUUGUACUGUCCAUCUGAAGCUGAUUGUGGAGGGUCCUUCCACCAUAACUUCAGGAACAGUGUAAAGAACUACCGGAAGUUACAUGCUACAGAAAGUAGCAUGGUUGUCAAUUAGAGGGCAAAAAAUAUGGAUUGGGAAGUCCCAAACAUCAUCCUAGAGUUUGAAGGUUGCUUCACAUUCAGAAUUAGGUGGCAAUGAUUACAAUGGUAUCAAAGCAUUGACUGGCUAAAGAAACGUGACUGUUCUGCUCUGCCCAUCUGAAGCUGAUUGUGGAGGAUCCUUCCAACAUAAGUUCAGGAACAGUGUAUAGAACAACUGCCGGAAGUUACAUGCUACAGAAAGUAGCAUGGUUGUCUAAAUUAGAGGGCAAAAAAUAUGGAUUGGGAAGUCCAGAACAUCAUCCUAGAGUUUGAAGGUGGUGUUUCACAUUCAGAAUUGGUGAGUGUGGCAGUAAAUAUUAUUUUAAACAGA